UAACUCCUUCACAGACGGCUCUGUACCCGCUCUGCGCCGCCUCAUACUGACCUGCACCAGUCUGGAGGGGAUCAGGCUGUGGGGGAAUGGGUUCAGUUCAGACGGA